rnacentral:rRNA from 1 species
UACGAAGGGGGCUAGCGUUGCUCGGAAUUACUGGGCGUAAAGCGCACGUAGGCGGCUUUCUAAGUCGGGGGUGAAAUCCUGGAGCUCAACUCCAGAACUGCCUUCGAUACUGGAGCUUGAGUCCGGGAGAGGUGAGUGGAGCUGCGAGUGUAGAGGUGAAAUUCGUAGAUAUUCGCAAGAACACCAGUGGCGAAGGCGGCUCACUGGCCCGGUACUG